CUCUGGGGUGGCGUCAUGGCGGUCACGGGUGUCAGUCACAUCCCUCGGUCACAUCUUCACUCUGUCGUGGGGGUCAUCUCACGUCAGGGGGUCACUCACUUUCACGCUCNCAUUCACCGCUCAUUCACGUCACCCUUCACGGGGUGUCACACAGCNCAGGGGUCAUCUUUUCGGGUCACCCUUUGCGCGUCAUUGUCAUCAUUGUCAGCCCGUCAUUGUUCGGGUCAUUUC
rnacentral:rRNA from 1 species